ACGCACGCUGGCGGCGUGCUUAACACAUGCAAGUCGAACGAUGAAGAAAAGAAUCGAAGCUUCGGCAGAAAUUCAUUUCGGAUUAGUGGCAGACGGGUGAGUAACGCGUGAGCAACCUACCUCUUACAAAGGGAUAGCCUCGGGAAACCGGGAUUAAUACCAUAUAACAUUGCGACGAAGCAUUUCGAUGCAAUCAAAGCUACGGCGGUAAGAGAUGGGCUCGCGUCCCAUUAACCGGAUGGUGAGGUAACGGCUCACCAUAGUGACGAUGGGUAACCGGCCUGAGAGGGUGAACGGUCACACUGGAACUGAGACACGGUCCAGACUCCUACGGGAGGCAGCAGUGGGGAAUAUUGCACAAUGGAGGGAACUCUGAUGCAGCGACGCCGCGUGAGUGAUGAAGGAAUUCGUUUCGUAAAACUCUGUUCUAUGGGAAGAAAAGGACUGUACCAUAGGAGAAAGCUCCGGCUAAAUACGUG
rnacentral:rRNA from 1 species